UUCGUUGCUACACGAAGAACCUUACCUGGGUUUGACAUAGCAGUGGUAGGGAAGCGAAAGCGGACCGACCCGUUCGGGGAGCUGUUACAGGUGUUGCAUGGCUGUCGUCAGCUCGUGUCGUGAGAUGUUCGGUUAAGUCCGCUAACGAGCGCAACCCGCGUGGUGUGUUACAAGUGUCACACCAUACCCCCUGCCGAUAUUAAGUCGGAGGAAGGUGCGGAUGACGUCAAGUCAGCAUGACCUUUAUAUCCAGGGCUACACACACGCUACAAUGGUAGGUACAACAGGUUGCCAAGCCGCGAGGCGGAGCCAAUCCUCUAAAGCCUACCUCAGUUCAGAUUGCAGGCUGCAACUCGCCUACAUGAAGUCGGAAUCGCUAGUAAUCGCGGAUCAGCACGCCGCGGUGAAUACGUUCCCGGGCCUU
rnacentral:rRNA from 1 species